CAGCUCUUUGCAUCAGGUGGCCAAAGUAUUGGAGCUUCAGCAUCAGUCCUUGCAAUGAAUAUUCAGGGUUGACUUCCUUUAGGAUGGACUGGUUUGAUCUCCUUGCUGUCCAAGGGACUCUCCUAAGGUCAGGGAUGCUACAAAUGUCCUGCAAUACACAGGAUGAGCCGCCCAACUAAGGAACACCCACACAGCCCAGUGUCUGUAGGUUGAGAAAGCCUGCCUUGGGAGAUAGUUCAGUGUGGGAGAGAAAGAGAGGUUGGUGAGGGAAGGUGGGGGUUGAUCUGUACCUGGUUUGGGGAAAGGUUUGGGGAGGAGGAGCCAGAAGAGGGGAUAACUUGAGGUGGGGCCGGGGCCUAGGUGGCUUCCUAAGGACUGUGGGGCUAUAUACCUGAGCCUAUUACACACCAGCCGGGCAGCGCCCAGCCCUUGGCACUGGCCACCUUCCUUCCUCUUCAUAAAAAGUAGCCCACGAGGGAGGGCAGUGGCAAACAUCCAGUUCACAGAUAAGUCAUCAGCUACUCAGAAGGUGCAGACAUGUCCCACCCCCUCCACCCCUCGCUGCCUCUGCACGAAGGAGGCAGACAGGGUGAGGCUCUGAGACCCAUGAUGCCUGCGCUGCCUUCCUGUGGCACCACCCGGGGACUGUCCUGCCAUCCCGUGCAUCACACAGCGAGGUGGAGACAGACUAGCACAGGAUUCAUUGUCUGAGCAGUUUCCUAAGGGGAAAAGGUUUGUUUGCACACGUAGCUGACCUUUGAUGUCUAUAAAUGGAGUCUCUCUGGAAUUGGAAAAUUAAAAGGCCAUGUGGUGAUGAAAAGAGAUGUAGCUGAUGAAGAUGGAAAGGAGGAAAGACAGCACCUUUGUGGCCACCCUUGGCAGAGAAGUACUUAGCAGGCAGGCCCCAGCUAGGAUGGCGCUGCAGGAUGCACGACCUUGUCAAGUGGAAAAAUGUGAUUGGCCCAACCACAUCCCCCUCUCCCCACUCCCACCCUGAGAAUUUUCCCACUGAUUUCAGCUAGAAUUACCAGCAUGGGAUGAAGCUCUUUAAUGGCUUAUAUUCUUGUUUUUAUCUAAAAACGUCUGUCUCUUGCCUGCACCUGAGCAGAUGCUCACAUUGCCCCACCCCACCCUCUAGGCCACUGCAGGGGGCCAUUCUGGGCUUCUCCAAGGCUUCACGUUAGUAUUACUUGUUUCAGUGCUGUGUCUGUGUUGCGAUGAAUUUAAUGAGCAGCUCUCAUCCUGGUAAAUCAGUGCUUUGCAAACUCUGAUUUGAAUCACUCAGGGAUCUUGUUAAACUAUAGGUUCUGAAACAGUGGGUCUGGGAUAGGAUUCUGCAUUUUCAGUAAACUCCUGGGUGAUGACUUGGCCAGCCUUGGACUUUGAGAAACAAGAGUCUAAAGCUGAGUGUUCUGCAUCUUGUCACUGUAAUGCGUGUUGGCCUUCUCUCUCCCUGGUUACAGCGAACAGAGUACAUUUCUAGAAUAGAUUACAGGUAUUGAAUUGUUUUACUUUCUUCCCUAGCUCUUAUUUUUCCUGUCAUAAUUCCUAAAGCAUAAUUAGUGGUAGGCAAGUGUGUUAGCACGCCACCUGUUCACACCCUCACCUCCACGGUCCUGCCCUUCAGAUUUGUUUUCUUUUUGAAAGUAGAGCACCGCUUUCUUACCUUCAACAGGAUCAUCACAGGUCUGCUUUCCUGUUGCUAUGGAGACCAUUCUGACUUCACUUUUCCCGUCCCCUCUUCCCUACUCUUACCCCCCCCCCAUAUUCCUUAAUUUGCUGCACCAUUCCGCUGUUGUCAUGGGGAUGAAAUGACCAUUUAUUUAAAUUGGCAUCUCCAAUAAAAGGGCAGCUGAGAAAUCCACGUUAGUGAAACCCAACUUGGAGCAUAGAUGAGGAACAGCAGAGCACGUGCAUGUGUAGUCUGCCUGUUUCAAUUGCUGUCUCUCUGAGCUUCAUCUUGCAGCAAGUAUCCCAAGUCUAGAUCAAGGGACACAUCAGCAUCUUAAAAUCAGUUCACAGAAAAGGAAAGAGCCUAUUGGACCUACGUGAACUUUUUAGCUUGGCAGGAUGCUUGUGAGGAAGGCAGAGACCUGAGCAGAGGCUCCGUCACCCUAAUGCUGACCCCACUGAGCUUCGGACAAGGCAGGUGUAAUGUCCAUGUUUGUGUCCUCAUCUAUAAAAACCUGAAGUAGGAGUCCUGACCUCCUGCAGAGAGAGUGUCUGCAGACUGCUUGGAGAGUGACAGCGGGCAACAGCGAGUGUGCAAUUUACAGAGUUCUAUUUAUAGGUCACCCUUCAGGCUGAAAUGGAUUUGUCAUUGUCCUCCAGGCCCUCUCUUUCUACUUGGCCUGUAAGGGGCACACACUGGACCCAUCUGUGAAAUGAUUGGGGUGGUGGUGGGAUGCGGGGAGGGGCGUCUCCAGGG